AUGGUGUUUGGAGAUGGGAUCUGUCCUUUCAUCAGCCCACACUGGACCAGACAUACUCCAGAGCUCAUGGCAAGAAGGGCUGGGCUGUCUUCCACGAAGGUGAUGUGUGCUGAGGCUGCAUGCGGGAGGCUGGGAGUGGUGAUUAAUGCCCUGGGAAUUCGCCUUGCCUCGCUACACAGCGCCGUAGUGUCAGGGCGCCAGGAACACUUACCUACUGUGCUCAGGAUCAGGCAGCGAGACAGAGACAGUGUGUUCUCAGCAGGGAGAGCUUGCUGCUGUGCUGCAGCUUCAUACUUGCACAGUGAGGCUCUCUUUGGACAUGGGUCUGCUGCUAAGCGGAGGCAGCAAUCCUGUCCUGCUGCAGCUCUGCUGCAGUUUGCACCCUUGACCUCUGCCAGGAUGCAGUCCCAGCAUUUGGUUGGUUUGGAGGAGCAAUCCCUUGCUGUGGUGGAGGGAUUGCCCAUCUGGAGGUGAGAGGGGAUGGCUCCCAGCCAGCAGUCAGACCGUGACUCACUGGGAUCUCAGGCGGAGCCUGGCUCUCCUUGCACUCUGCUCUUCCUGCGGGAGCCUCUGAGCAGGCUGCUGCUGGUUGUUUGUUCUCACCAAGCCGCCCUGGGCUGGAACUGAGAGAAGCUCAUGUCCACCAUUAAAGCUGAGAAGCUGGGCUCUGCUGGUUUCCAGUCUGGAAGAUGCUGGGAGGCUUCUAUCUAGGUGAGAGUUUGGAGAAAAUGUCAGUCAGCACUCUGUGGAGUAAAACAAUGCCAAGACCAUGGAAAACAUAAUAUUUUGUGUUCUAAUUGUGUUAUGGAAUGAGCUAACACCACAAGACUGAUCUCAAACACAUCUAGACUUGAACGGGAAAGGAGAGCAAACAGCCUUGUUUUCAGAGGUAUUUCACAAUCCCUUGCUGGAAGAGGACCGCUUACCAGGUGCUGGCUCUGGGCUUUUGGUGGGCUGGGACAUGUUCCCUGGUAGCUCCAGUGGUUUAUGCUCCCUGCCGUCUGGCUGGUGAAGCACUGAUCUGAUGCUGUAUGCAGGGCAAUUCGAGAGACAGAUGUUCAAAAGAAGUGUCUGGUAAUUUUGGCAUAAGGGUAGGAGUGGCUACAGCCAUCAAUGAUCUGCAUUGGGAUUGUCAGAAAUCCCCAGCAAUCUCAGAGAAGAGUUUGUAUGCUCCUGGCUCUGGCCCUUAGUGAGCAUCCCAUCCCCUCCCUUCUUUCCGAAGGUCAGUGAGUGCUGCAACGUGAAUGUGGAUUAGCAUCAGUCCUUAAAUUGUUCUCCAUUGUAGCUGCAGUUAAUGGGUACAUGUCAGAACGACUGCAGCGGUGCCUGCCCCUCUCAGUCCUCUCUCAUUUGAAACAGAGUCCCCAGAGCUCAUGGCAGAUACUUCUAGGACCCUGAGCUCAGCCUUGUGCCACAGCCACCACAACUCAUUGCAAGGCUGCUUUCUUGUCUUUAGCAUUUCCAGACUCACUGA
rnacentral:lncRNA from 1 species